GGAUAGAACCACCAUAUGACCCAGCUAUCCCACUCCUGAGUAUUUUCCCAAAAGAUCUGAAAUCAACAUAAUAUAGCAAAACAACCACCUCAAGUUUAUAGCAGCAUAAUUCAUAAUACCUAAAUUAUGGAAUUGACCUUGGUGCCCAUCAAUAGAUGAAUGGAGAAAGAAAUUGUGGUAUAUAUACACAAUGGAGUUCUACUCAGCCAUAAAAAAUAAUGAAAUUACGGCAUGCUGAUAAAUAGAUGGAAAUAGAGAAUAUCACACUAGCUGAAAUAAGUCAAGCUCAGAAACUCAAAGGUCGAAUGUUUUCUCUCAUGUGGAAGCUGGAGUAAAAUGAAGGAAAGGGGGAGAGGAGGAUAGGAUAACAUAAAGGGAGGCUCAGUAAGGUAGAAGAAGGAGCUUGAGAGGCAGAGUGGGAUGGUAGGGGGAGGCAACGCAGAAUGACUUCUUAAACAAUCAUGUUAUGUGAAUAUGCCACAUAUAUUCACCUUUAUACAUAAAUAUAUGUGUAUAUAUUCACCUUUAUACAAACAUAAAUAUACAUCAAAUAUAAAUAGACAAGUGAGGUGAAGUCUAGAGUAGAGGAGGGAGGAUGGGAGGGAAAGGGGGGCUCAUGAACUGAAAUAGAAUUUCCUGCGUGUAUGAGUUUGUCGGGAUGAACCCACCUACUAUGUAUAACUAUAAAGCUCUAAUAAAAAAGAAUAAAUUGUGGUUAUACAUCUUAAAAUAUGUUCCCAGUCAAAAGAGUAAAAUAUAAGGCAAUUCAAUAACUAAUUAUUUUAGUUAUUUUUUGAAACACAAUUGUUGAGAUUUUAACACACUUCCUUUCCCCUUCAUAGGGGCUUAUUUCUGUUGCUUUGACAAAAGUUUCUGAAAACGAAGCCUUCAUUCCAAUCAACAAAAAUCUCUGGUCGAUUUCAUAUGUCACCACACUGAGCUCUUUUGCCUUCUUCAUCCUGCUGGUCCUAUACCCAGUUGUUGAUGUGAGAGGACUGUGGACAGGAGCCCCCUUCUUUUAUCCAGGAAUGAAUUCUAUUCUGGUAUAUGUUGGCCACGAGGUAUUUGAGGACUACUUCCCCUUUCAGUGGAAGCUGAAAGAUAAUCAGUCACACAAAGAACAUCUAACUCAGAACAUAAUCGCCACUGCUCUCUGGGUGCUCAUUGCCUACAUUCUCUAUAAAAAGAAGAUUUUUUGGAAAAUCUGAUAGCUCCCACUCAAGUGUUGUUGGAAGACUCUAGUGGGCCUAGGUAAAGUAUUGAAAGAACCUAUAUUGAGGGGAAUCAUCACUUAUAAAAACAGUGGGAUGUAUUUCCAGAUUUGGGGAGAAGGUGCUCAAGUUGGUUUACUCUGACAUGAGUCAUCAGAACUCUGUAUAUUUGUGACAUAUAUUUGAAAUGGUAUGGUCUAUCUUUUCUCCAUCUUCUACAUAAAUGAAUGCAUUUGGAACUUCAUUGUAAGGAAAUCUCACUUAACUUUCCAAAAGGGAUUUACUAUGGGCAUUUUGCGUCUGUGAUGCAUAAAACAGUCUAAGGUUUGAGGACUGGGGAUGUGGUUCAGUGGUGCUUGUCUAGCAUUUGUUAGGUGAGGUCCUGGGUUUGAUCCCCAUCACUGCAAAACAAACAAACAAAAGUAACAAUCUAAGGUUUGAUUCCUACUGACUUUUUUUUCCCCCUGGAAAUUGCUUCUGCAUGUGUACAUGCAUGCCAACAACAACAAAAAUCAUGAUUUCCUACAUGAUAGAGUAUAAACUUUAUUGAAUGGAUGUGUCAUAAUGUUUUCUCAAUUUUUUGAUUUGGUUCAAUUUAAUGUUUUAGGAAAGCCAAAGUAAGUUUUUUUUUUUCUUUUCAGAUUAUCAAGGCUUUGAUGAGUCAAAAAAUACCUAUCAGAAGCCAUUUUCUCUUUUUCCCCCAUUUAAAAAAUAAAAUUAAAAUAUAGAUGUAUUAUUCCCAACCAUCUUGAUUAUCUACCUGUUUACUUUCCUAUUUACCUAUGUACUUAGCAUCUAUCCUUCUAUCUCCCUACCUACAUGAGUAUCUUUUUUUUUACUGGUUGCUCAAAACAUUACAAUGCUCUUGACAUAUCAUAUUUCAUACAUUUGAUUCAAGUGGGUUAUGAACUCCCAUUUUUACCACGUGUACCUAAGUACCAGGAAUGUACCUGUAGAAGAAAGAAACGCACACUGACUUCACUGUGAGUCCAACUGUCCAUGCCUGCUGUAUAAGAUACUGGGCAAGUCCCUUGGGCUAUUAGGACUUUGUGAUGAGGUAGGGUACAUCAGUAGCUUUUCUGAAAUCUUCAGAACAACAAUUUUGUUACAGAAAAUGCCUCAAAAGAAAUAAGAAUAAAAAUAUUUUUAAAAACUA